rnacentral:misc_RNA from 1 species
AACGCACAUUGCGCCCCUUGGUAUUCCAUGGGGCAUGCCUGUUCGAGCGUCAUUUGUACAUUCAAGCUUUGCUUGGUGUUGGGUGUUUGUCUUUACCUUGCGUGUAGACUCGCCUUAAAACAAUUGGCAGCCGGCGUAUUGAUAACGGAGUGCAGUACAUUCAGCGCUCUGCUUUCAUAACGACAGCAUCCACAAGCUACAUUUUAACGCUUGACCUCGGAUCAGGUAGGGAUACCCGCUGAACUUAA